UGCGGCUACAGCUGGCCUGGGCGCCUAUGAGUGACCAGAGGGAGGAAAGCCUGGAUCCCGGGUGCCUGUGGUCGGCUGGAGGAGGGAA